rnacentral:rRNA from 1 species
GACGAACGCUGGCGGCGUGCUUAACACAUGCAAGUCGAACGCUCAAGCUUUGUGCUUGCUCUGUGUGGAUGAGUGGCUAACGUGUGAGUAAUACGUUAGUAACCUGCUCUUGACUCUGGGAUAAGCCUGGGAAACUGGGUCUCAUACUGUAUACGACAUUUCACCUCAUUGUGGUGUGUGGAAAGGUUUUUACUGGUUUUGGAUGGGCUCACGGCCUAUCAUCUUGUUGGUGGGGUAAUGGCUCACCAAGGCGACGACGGGUAGCCGGCCUGAGAGGGUGACCGGCCACACUGGGACUGAGACACGGGCCAGAGUGAUACGGGAGGCAGCAGUGGGAAAUAUUGCAAGAUGGGCGGAAGCCUGAUGCAGCGACGCCGCGUGAGGGAUGACGGCCUUAGGGGUGUAAACGGCUUUCAGCACGGAAGAAGAGAAAGUGACGGUACGUUAAGAAGAAGCGACGGCUAACUACGUG